rnacentral:lncRNA from 1 species
CCUGAGGCAAAGACUAAAUCUGGCUGUGCUGACUUAGCUCCCCUGGUUGAAAAAGCAGCUUGGGGCUCUUGGGCACAGAAAGGAAUCUCACCCAGCAGCCAUCGUUUGUAAAGUUGCCUUUGUCCCCCACAGGAAUCUGAACUUAGAGGAAAUGCCAGUUGAGUCCUGACCUUCCUCCUUCCGUGACAGAAUUCCAGCUGUACCAUGACAGAAAUCUGACUCUGAGAGUGAGGGGAGUGUGGUGGUUUCCUUGGACUCCAUCCAAACGAAGCAAGAUGAGCAUCUGUCUGCUGAUUUAUCAAGAGGACCAGCGAUGGUUUAGGAAUGAUGGACAGUCCUCUGAGGAAGCAGUGCCAGAAGCAUGAUGAGCAGAAAUGCUGAACAAGAUGCUGGCUGGAGGGGAAAUCGGUCUCCCAGGCCGAUUAGCUUGGGUGAGAG